rnacentral:tRNA from 1 species
GAGGGUAUAGCUCAAGUGGUAGAGCACAUGCUUAGAUGCACGAUGUCCUUGGUUCAAUCCCCAGUACCUCCU